rnacentral:rRNA from 1 species
CCACAUUGGGACUGAGACACGGCCCAGACUCCUACGGGAGGCAGCAGUGGGGGAUAUUGCACAAUGGGGGAAACCCUGAUGCAGCGAUGCCGCGUGGAGGAAGAAGGUUUUCGGAUUGUAAACUCCUGUCGUAAGGGAAGAGAAAGGACUGUACCUUACAAGAAAGCUCCGGCUAACUACGUGCCAGCAGCCGCGGUAAUACGUAGGGAGCGAGCGUUGUCCGGAAUGACUGGGUGUAAAGGGAGCGUAGGCGGGAUGGCAAGUCAGAUGUGAAACCUGAGGGCUCAACCUUCAGACUGCAUUUGAAACUGCUGUUCUUGAGUGAAGUAGAGGUAAGCGGAAUUCCUGGUGUAGCGGUGAAAUGCGUAGAGAUCAGGAGGAACAUCGGUGGCGAAGGCGGCUUACUGGGCUUUUACUGACGCUGAGGCUCGAAAGCGUGGGGAGCAACAGGAUUAGAUACCCUGGUAGUCCACGCUGUAAACGAUGAUUACUAGGUGUGGGGGGAUUGACCCCUUCCGUGCCGCAGUUAACACAAUAAGUAAUCCACCUGGGGAGUACGACCGCAAGGUUGAAACUCAAAGGAAUUGACGGGGGCCCGCACAAGCAGUGGAGUAUGUGGUUUAAUUCGAAGCAACGCGAAGAACCUUACCAGGUCUUGACAUCGAGUGACGUAUCCAGAGAUGGAUAUUUCCUUCGGGACACAAAGACAGGUGGUGCAUGGUUGUCGUCAGCUCGUGUCGUGAGAUGUUGGGUUAAGUCCCGCAACGAGCGCAACCCUUAUCAUUAGUUGCUACGCAAGAGCACUCUAAUGAGACUGCCGUUGACAAAACGGAGGAAGGUGGGGAUGACGUCAAAUCAUCAUGCCCCUUAUGACCUGGGCUACACACGUACUACAAUGGCGAUCGAACAGAGGGAAGCAAGACAGCGAUGUGGAGCCAAUCCCAAAAAAUCGCCCCAUUUCAGAUUGCAGGCUGCAACUCGCCUGCAUGAAGUCGGAAUUGCUAGUAAUCGCAGAUCAGCAUGCUGCGGUGAAUACGUUCCCGGGCCUUGUACACACCGCCCGUCACACCAUGGGAGUCGGUAACACCCAAAGCCGGUCGUCUAACCUUCGGGAGGACGCCGUCUAAGGUGGGAUUGAUGACUGGGGUGAAGUCGAAACAAGGUAGCCGUAUCGGAAGGUGCGGCUG